UGAGGAAUAUUGGACAAUGGGCGAAAGCCUGAUCCAGCCAUGCCGCGUGAGUGAUGAAGGCUCUAGGGUUGUAAAGCUCUUUUAGCAGGGAAGAUAAUGACGGUACCUGCAGAAAAAGCCCCGGCUAACUUCGUGCCAGCAGCCGCGGUAAUACGAAGGGGGCUAGCGUUAUUCGGAAUCACUGGGCGUAAAGCGCGUGUAGGCGGUCUAAAAAGUCAGGGGUGAAAUCCCAGAGCUUAACUCUGGAACUGCCUUUGAAACUCUUAGACUUGAAUUUGGUAGAGGAUAGUGGAAUUCUUAGUGUAGAGGUGAAAUUCGUAGAUAUUAAGAGGAACACCAGUGGCGAAGGCGACUAUCUGGGCCAAUAUUGACGCUAAGACGCGAAAGCGUGGGGAGCAAA
rnacentral:rRNA from 1 species